rnacentral:rRNA from 1 species
AGUUACCAGCACGGUUAUGGUGGGGCAACUCUAAGGAGACUGCCGGUGACAAACCGGAGGAAGGUGGGGAUGACGUCAAGUCAUCAUGGCCCUUACGGCCUGGGCUACACACGUGCUACAAUGGUCGGUACAAAGGGUUGCCAAGCCGCGAGGUGGAGCUAAUCCCAUAAAACCGAUCGUAGUCCGGAUCGCAGUCUGCAACUCGACUGCGUGAAGUCGGAAUCGCUAGUAAUCGUGAAUCAGAAUGUCACGGUGAAUACGUUCCCGGGCCUU